UAGUUGGGUGAGGUCAAGGCUCACCAAGGCAAUGACACAUAACUGGUCUGAGAGGAUGAUCAGUCACACUGGAACUGAGACACGGUCCAGACUCCUACGGGUAGGCAGCAGUGGGUGAAUAUUACACAAUGGAGGAUACUCUGAUGUAGCAACGCCGCGUGGAGGAUGACACAUUUCGGUGCGUAAACUCCUUUUAUUAGGGAAGAUAAUGACGGUACCUAAUGAAUAAGCACCGGCUAACUCCGUGCCAGCAGCCGCGGUAAUACGGAGGGUGCAAGCGUUACUCGGAAUCACUGGGCGUAAAGCGCGCGCAGGCGGGUUUGUAAGUUGGAAGUGAAAUCCACUAGCUUAACCAGUGAACUGCUUCCAAAACUACUUACCUAGAGUCUGGGAGGGGAAGAUGGAAUUAGUUGUGUAGGGGUAAAAUCCGUAGAGAUAACUAGGAAUAUCAAAAGCGAAGGCGAUCUUCUGGAACAGUACUGACGCUGAGGCGCGAAAGCGUGGGGAGCAAACAGGAUUAGAUACCCUGGUAGUCCACGCCCUAAACGAUGAAUGUUAGUCGUCGGUAUGCUCGUCAUAUCGGUGAUGCACUUAACAGAUUAAACAUUCCGCCUGGGGAGUACGGUCUGCAAGAUUAAAACCUCAAAGGAAUAGACGGGGACCCGCACAAGUGGUGGAGCAUGUGGUUUUAUUCGAGGAUACUGCGAAGAACCUUACCUAGCCUCUGACAUUGAUAGAAUCCGCUAGAGAUAGUGGAGUGCCAGUUUACUGGAGCUUGAAAACAGGUGCUGCACGGCUGUCGUCAGCUCGUGUCGUGAGAUGUUGGGUUAAGUCCCGCAACGAGCGCAACCCUCGUGACUAGUUACUAACGGUUCGGCCGAGGACUCUAGUCAGACUGCCUUCGCAAGGAGGAGGAAGGUGAGGACGACGUCAAGUCAUCAUGGCCCUUACGGCUAGGGCGACACACGUGCUACAAUGGGCAGGACAAUGAGACGCAAUACCGCGAGGUGGAGCAAAUCUAUAAACCUGCUCUCAGUUCGGAUUGUAGUCUGCAACUCGACUACAUGAAGCCGGAAUCACUAGUAAUCGUAGAUCAGCCAUGCUACGGUGAAUACGUUCCCGGGUCUUGUACUCACCGCCCGUCACACCAUGGGAGUUGAUUUCACCCGAAGCGGGGAAGCUAAACUGGCUACCCUCCACGGUGGAAUC
rnacentral:rRNA from 1 species